rnacentral:rRNA from 1 species
UGCGUAGGCGGCUUUCUAAGUUGGAUGUGAAAACUCUGGGCUCAACCCAGAGCCUGCAUCCAAAACUGGAGAGCUUGGGUUCUGGGAGGGGAAAGCGGAAUUCCUGGUGUAGCGGUGAAAUGCGUAGAUAUCAGGAGGAACACCGGUGGCGAAGGCGGCUCUCUGGACAGAUACCGACGCUGAGGCACGAAAGUGGAGGGCAAC